UAAGGAUGAUCAAGAAUUGGAACUCUUUUAAUAAAGAAUGUUCCUUUUUGAUCUCACUAGACAAUAAAGGUCUUAAACAGUUUUGUUUAAACCUUGUACAUAUGACCAAACGCCUCAUAAACCCUCAUCUUAAAGAGAGGUUCUCUUUGUAAAAAGAGGCUCCUCCCUCCAUGAGUAAGUUCUAUGAGAGCCAAGUGUUCAUAUGUUCUCUUAUACAAGCAGACUAGCCGUCUUCGUUUCUCUUUCUUCAGAUGAUGAUCCCAAGCCUUCUGGCGAUCUCUUAAGUCUUAAAGCCCUGCUUAUUUUUAAUGGUGCUUUAAGGAAAAGAGCUCUAAAAAGCUUUCGUAUUAAGAGUAUGCCGGGGAAGGUUUUCCGGUUUAUCCCGGAGGGCUUG
rnacentral:misc_RNA from 1 species